rnacentral:rRNA from 1 species
CAGUAGCCGCGGUAAUACGUAGGUGGCAAGCGUUAUCCGGAAUUAUUGGGCGUAAAGCGCGCGUAGGCGGUUUUUUAAGUCUGAUGUGAAAGCCCACGGCUCAACCGUGGAGGGUCAUUGGAAACUGGAAAACUUGAGUGCAGAAGAGGAAAGUGGAAUUCCAUGUGUAGCGGUGAAAUGCGCAGAGAUAUGGAGGAACACCAGUGGCGAAGGCGACUUUCUGGUCUGUAACUGACGCUGAUGUGCGAAAGCGUGGGGAUCAAACAGGAUUAGAUACCCGUGUAGUCCCUGUCUCUUAUAC